rnacentral:rRNA from 1 species
UACGUAGGGGGCAAGCGUUGUCCGGAAUCAUUGGGCGUAAAGCGCGUGUAGGCGGCCAGAAAAGUCCGCUGUGAAAACUCGAGGCUCAACUUCGAGCUGUCGGUGGAAACUUUCUGGCUAGAGUCCGGAAGAGGAGAAUGGAAUUCCUGGUGUAGCGGUGAAAUGCGCAGAUAUCAGGAAGAACACCCGUGGCGAAGGCGGCUUUCUGGGACGGUACUGACGCUGAGACGCGAAAGCGUGGGGAGCGAACAGG